GGGGGUUUUUUGUAUUUUAGUCUAACCUGCCCAUGAUUUAAUUUAAUGGCCGCAGUAUCUUAACUGUGCAAAGGUAGCAUAAUCAUUUGUUCUUUAAUUGUGAACUAGUAUGAAGGGUUUGAUGAAGAAUAUUCUUUCUUUAUUUAAUUUUGUGAAUUUUAUUUUUAAGUUAAAAAGCUUAGAUUUUUUUAUUAGACGAUAAGACCCUAUAGAACUUUAUUUAUUUUUAUUUGUUAUAUUUUUAGUUUUUGUUUUUAUAAUAUUUAUUUGUUAAUUUUGUUGGGGUGACAUUUAAAUUUUUAUAACUUUAUUUUUUAGGUUUUCAUUUAUUAUUGUAUUUUUGAUCCAGUUUUAUUGAUUAUUAGAUUAAGUUACCUUAGGGAUAACAGCGUUAUUUUAUUGGAGAGCUCUUAUCGAUAAUAAAGUUUGCGACCUCGAUGUUGGAUUAAAAUUAAAUUAUGGUGUAGUAGCUGUAUGUUUAGGUCUGUUCGACCUUUAAAUUUUUACAUGAUCUGAGUUCAACCGG
rnacentral:rRNA from 1 species